UAUUUUUCCUAAUUCACAAUCAAGUUUUCCUUUUUUUUGUUUACUUUUUCAAAUUUAUCGUAAUUUUUUGGGAUUCCACAGUGUUUGGAGGCAAAGGGGUUUAGAUGGUUUAGGGGUUCGUUUUUGACCUUUGAUACCUUGUGAUCGAUCAACUGGAAUUUCAAAAUUAGAUGGUCUGUAUUUUUGUUAGCUAGCUGUAGAGUUGUAUGAUAAGCUUGGAGGUAUUUGAGCUCAUCUUAGUUAAAUUUAUACUUAAUUAUGUCCUAUAAUUUUUUAAGUUUUGAAAACCUAAGAGAAACAGAGUUCAUUACCCUGUGGUUUUUCACGUGGGAUGUAACCCUACCUCUAUACUUCUGCAAUUUUAGAACAUUAUCUUAUAUAUGACUUUAAAGUUUUUGUUAAUUAAUUCUUUUUAAUCAAAUAGUAUCUGCAUUAGUUUCCUUUCCAUAUUUCUAGUGAAGAAUUUUUAGUUUGUGUGUAAUGUUUGAAUUGAUUGUAUUAAAAUUGGUUGUGAUUUUUUCUUUCUUUUGUAUUACAGUACAACAAAGACAUAAUCUAAUCUAUAAAGUUGUUUGUUUACAUUCUUUGAUCAGGAGCUGCUAAUCAGUUAUUAACACAACUUUAUAUUGUUGGGUAUUUAAGGACUUAUCAUUGUCGUGAUCAUCAGUACCUAUAUGGCUAUCUAGCUUGUGGCCUUGCUGGUUUCUCUACCGGUAUGGCUAUCAGCAUUGUCGAUGAUGUCGGUGUUAGAUUGUAAAUCAACAUGAAGCUACAAGUAGCAACAUUGUCAGGCACAAGGAGUGUAAUCUUCAAACACUUGGAAUUGGUGGCUUAGGUGCUGAGUUUGCAGAUAUAUUUCGAAGAGCUUUUGUAUCUCAUGUUUUCCCUCCUCACGUGACAAAUAAAUUGUUAAUGGACCUGAAGUUUUGAGCAAGUUGGUGAAACUAAGAAAAAUAUUAGGAAUCUAUUUGCUGAUGCUAAGAAUGAUCAAAGGGCUCGCGAAAAAGUUGUGGGACUCUCAGUUUAAGCAAGAAGGGAAUGUGGUUUAAGUGAGCUUCAUUGCCCGAAGAACUUGGGUCCAUCGGCUGCAGUGUUGUGGGGGAGGAUAGGAUUCUGAAGGACUUGGUUGUAAAUAACUAAAAUACGUGUAUAUUGUGGGAUUUGUUGAUUUAAAAGAAAAUUCAAUUUUUCUACAUUAAUAAUUUUUUUUUUAAAUAGAACCUAUUGGGCACGAUUUGAAAAUUGUGUGCGUAUGAUCUUGUCACCUGAUAAUCUGACAUGGUUGUCAGAAUUAAGACACAAAUAGGCUGUUAUUUGUGCUGAACUCUUUGAGCACAAAUAACAAUAUUGUGUGCUAUCAGCAAUGGUGACGCCCAUAGAGGGCACAUACAUAAAGAUAGUAGCUGCAUUGUUACUAUUGGUCUAUGAGCACAAUUGUUGGUGCUUUUUGAUCUCAAAGGGCACAGAUAAUUUAUUGUGUGCAGUGCUCA